rnacentral:hammerhead_ribozyme from 1 species
AUCCAGCUGACGAGUUCCAAACAGUAUGAAACGCGCGUCCUGGAU